rnacentral:rRNA from 1 species
GUGAACGCUGGCGGUAGGCCUAACCCAUGCAAGUCGCACGGCAGCACAGUAAGAGCUUGCUCUUACGGGUGGCGAGUGGCGGACGGGCGAGGAAUACAUCGGAAUCUACUUUUUCGUGGGGGAUAACGUAGGGAAACUUACGCUAAUACCGCAUACGACCUACGGGUGAAAGCAGGGGAUCUUCGGACCUUGCGCGAUUGAAUGAGCCGAUGUCGGAUUAGCUAGUUGGCGGGGUAAAGGCCCACCAAGGCGACGAUCCGUAGCUGGUCUGAGAGGAUGAUCAGCCACACUGGAACUGAGACACGGUCCAGACUCCUACGGGAGGCAGCAGUGGGGAAUAUUGGACAAUGGGCGCAAGCCUGAUCCAGCCAUACCGCGUGGGUGAAGAAGGCCUUCGGGUUGUAAAGCCCUUUUGUUGGGAAAGAAAAGCAGCAGGUUAAUACCCCGCUGUUCUGACGGUACCCAAAGAAUAAGCACCGGCUAACUUCGUG